CCUGGAGUUCCCUCAUCAGGGGAACCUGAUGCAAGGACGUGUGUGCAGGCAGUUUAUUUUAGAGGUGAUCCCAGGGAGCAGAAACAGAGGACCGACACAACUGAAAAAAGCCAACAUCACAGAGCAUCUUUAGGUCAGUGCCGCGGGUGACUGGGACUCAGUGCCUCCAGGCCCCUCUGAACGGUGUACAGAAGGAUCCCUGGGCUUGUCAGCCAGAUGACAGAUUGACGGAAGCAUCCCUCCACUGGCUCCCACGCCCCACGGGUGAGAGGUUGUUGGCCCAGUGGAAGCUAACUGCCCCCAGCACGUCCCCAUGCUGAGCGUGCUCCUGCCGGCAGUCCGUGUUGGGCACUGCACAAGCCCCAGGGCAGAAAAAGAAAAAGGCCUUGUGCUCGCGUGAGGCAAGAUGCCGGCAGCGCAAAGUGAGUUGAAGCCCGCGUAGAACUGUUUGGCCCAGCACGGCUGGAAACAGAGGUGCCGCUGAGCGCCAGGGAGGCUGUGGGUACGCUCUUGAGCCAGACUGGCUUCUAAUCCUUUCCCUGUGUGUCAUUUUCCUCCACUUACAAAAGGGAGGGUUCUAAGAGGAAAACACGCUUUACCGGGUCGUCACGAGGCAAAUGAGAAAGCCCACAGCGCCUGGCACAUAAUAAUCCCUCAAUGAAGAGUGACUUCUAUUAUCCCCAUUUUAUGGUUGAAGACACUGAGAUGUGAUUUUGAAGGGAUGAGAGAGGGGAACAAGUGGGGGAGGGAGACUUCAUUUAGGCUCCACUCACACCUCCAGAGAAGGCUUGGUCGGCAGCUCAGAGAAAAACCUGGUAUUUCUGGGGAGAGACCCUCUCCCGCUUCGCCCUUCUACGCCCACUUCCCCUACCACGUGAGGGGCCUCAGGAGCGUUUUCUGCCCCUAAAUGAGUAGUCACGCUUCCUCUGUCGCGGGGAAAGGGUCUGGAGGUGCCUUGUGAUGUCACAGCUGGUUGCUAUGGCGAUCAGGUUGCUGUAAAUGUCAGUCUGGGUCCACCAGGAGCACAGUGAUCAGCAUCCCAGCCUGGCGCAGGGAGAGAGGAAAAUGAGGCACCCUGGGGGCUCUCCUAAGUGCCUCUCCCCGCGCCCCAAACACGCGGACGCACACAGCGCAGCCAGCAGGCCCCGCGAACGUCCCCUGGCCCGCCCCGCGCGUGGCAAUAUGUGUCUGGGGAGACACAACCCUGGCAGCCGAGAGCAGGGUGACACAUGGUCCGCCUCAGUCACUGUCCCCUCCCACUCCUUCUGGAAGAAAGGUGCUGCUCAGCAGGUGGCAGUGGCAUCCGGGGCGUCCCCAUGGCAACGCUGACUGAGGUCAGGCCUCAUCGCCGCGCUGACCUCACUCCGGGGGCCACUGGACCCGGGCUGGGCUGUCGCUGCCACGGGGGGGGGAAUUGGAAAAGCUGGGAAGAGGCUUUCCAGAAAAACGAAUCUGCCCUCUCAGGGUCAUGGCGUCUCCCGACAAGGAACUUGACCUUUCCGGACUCUGUGUUCACCGCCAUUGCUCGGAAUGAGAGGCAUCAGACAGAGAUUCUGGAAGCUGCUUUGCCCCACUUAGGCAGGAACGUGUCAACACCAGCACACGGAGGCCCGGGAGCCGGAGAGGCCUUUGCAGGACCCCUCGGGGAACUUCUUGCCCCCCCCCCCAGCAUGGACUGCCACGUCAGACUGCUCUCUGGGGAGAAGAGGGGUCCCAGGGGCUGGCGGGCUCCUCAGGUGCCGGGCCCCCCAAUCUCAGCUGUGGGAAGGGAGACGAGUCGGGGAAGGAUCGCACACCCAUGCAGCCUCGGCCUCGGCUCCCUCCUGAGUCACCGCCAAUUAGCUGAGGCAGGUGGGGAGCGAGGCGGGUGAAGGAGGGGCCCUUAGGUGCGGAGAGAAGAGGUUGGAAGGGGUGCGUUUGCAGGGAGAGCUGGAGGCAUGAACGGGCCCCCAGAGGUGGAGGGGACACACAGGGCCCGUGUUCUGUGCAGUCAACCCCAUCCAACCGACCUGAGCACAGCAGCCAGCCUGCAGGGCCUGCGCCUGAAGCCAGAGGGCCGCGGGGGGUGCGUGGAGGUGACCUUCCUCACUACAGGGGCCAGGGAGCUCCGAUAACAGGACGGCCACCGUUUACUGAGCACUAACAACACGCCAGGCGCGGGCCAAGCCCUUCACUCAGUGGUAACAGCACUUACUUUGUGCAGGACUGCUACCCGUUCUCCCUCACACAGUUCUUACUAAGCAGACGAGGAAAAGGGGGCCCGGAGAGGUUGACUAGUCCCAGGUCACCCAGGAAUGGGACUCCAGAGCCCGUGCUCCGGAACCUUCACGGCAGCUCUGGGGAUAGAGUCGUUCUUCACUCAGAGACACUGAGCAGGAAGGAGCCCCCACUGUGCCCAAUUCUGUCCUAGCCAAGUUCCCGUCUGUUGUUUGUCUCAUCCUGGCCGCGGGGUUAUUAUCCCCGUCUCACAGGGGAGGAAACAAGGGGAGAGGGGGUAAGUCAGGAUUCGCCAGGAUUUUUGACUCAAGAAUCAACGUGAAGCCGGUGUGAUUUUCCACAAUGGGUGGCCUCAGGGAGCCGUGGCUCUGACAUCCACAUUGGAGAGCCCAGACCUCCCCAUACCCCACUAUUCCAUUGUGGGGACCUAGGCUGGGGCCGGAAGUGUGAGAUGGGCAGCGGCCCAGGAGGAUUAUCUCUGACAGAGCCCAGCUCCUUGCCCCAAUCACGUCCUGCCCCCCGGAAUUAUAGAUGAUUAUCCCCAAGGGGUAGAGGAGGAGGCGCCCAGGGGACGUCCAGGAGGUGGUAGAAUGCAGGGAUUAAAAGCACUGUCUCAGGGGCGCCUGGGUGGCUCAGUCGGUUAAGCGGCCGACUUCGGCUUAGGUCACGAUCUCACACUCCGUGAGUUCGAGCCCUGCGUCGGGCUCUGUG